AUAAAAAAUCCAAAAAAAUUUAUUUAAGAAA
rnacentral:sRNA from 1 species